rnacentral:lncRNA from 1 species
UUAGGAAUUAGGGUAAUAGUGGCACAGUUGAUAGGUUUGUACAUAUUGGUUGAGGAGAAGAACUGCUUGAUGCCACUGGUAACCUGCCUGCCAAUGGUUUGCCAGCUCUUUUUGAAGAAGACAACAUUAUAACCAUCUAUCCCUGGUGCUUUGUCAUCUCCAAUAGCCUUGAGACUCUCCACAAUUUCCAUAUCAGUUACAUCAGCACAUAGAUCCC